rnacentral:pre_miRNA from 1 species
UUUAAACGGAACCAUGAGUUUUCUGUCUAACUUUGAUCAUCGUCUUAUUUAGAAUUUUUUUUUAUGAUUAGUGUUUUUAUUGUUAUUCAAUGAUAAAACAUAAAUAGUGAUUUAUGCAUGACAUAUUUUUUUAAAAAAAAUAUUUUUAAAAUAAAACGGAAGAUUAAAGAUGGAAUUCCAACUUUAAACGGACG